GUCGGAGUGCCUGAGUUGGUUAAAGGGUAUGACUCGAAUUUCUUCUGAUAUCAUAUAGGUUCGCCUGCGCAGGUUCGAAUCCUGUCUCCGACG
rfam:Pseudomassariella vexata strain CBS 129021 BCR38scaffold_3, whole genome shotgun sequence.